GCAAGACAGUUUCCGUCAGAAACUCUACUUUUCCACAACUCCAUAUAAAGGGAAAACCUCAAAAAGAAAAAAAAGGGCUUACAGCUGCAGGCUUCUUUGGCCUCCCAUGGCAGCGGCGCAGCCGAAUGGAUGGGGCGUGUCUCUGGAAUGUGUGUCCUUGCAUAGCGUUUAUAUCAGAAAGAGCUCCUGAGAAGAUCCAAAAAUGUUUUUAUCUCUUACUUCCCUGACAGGUUGAAGCCCCACCCCAAUGUGGCUAUUUGGAGAUGAGGCCUUUGGGAGAUAAUUGGGGUUGGAUGAGGUCAUGAAGGUGGAACCCUCGUGAUGGGAUAAUGGCUUGAUAAGAAGAGGAAGAGGGAGAGGUCGCUGUCCCUUUCCGCCAUGUAAGCACACAGCAGGAAAGCGACUGUCUACAAGCCAGGAAGAGGGCCCUUAUCAGGAACCAAAUCGGCCACCACUGUGAUCUGGGACUUUGCAGCCUUCAGAACUAUGGAAAUAAAUGCCUGUUGCUUAACCCA